rnacentral:rRNA from 1 species
UGGGGAAUUUUGGACAAUGGGGGCAACCCUGAUCCAGCCAUGCCGCGUGAGUGAAGAAGGCCUUCGGGUUGUAAAGCUCUUUCGGCGGGGACGAAACGGUUCGUGUUAACACCACGGACUAAUGACGGUACUCGCAGAAGAAGCACCGGCUAACUACGUGCCAGCAGCCGCGGUAAUACGUAGGGUGCAGGCGUUAAUCGGAAUUACUGGGCGUAAAGCGUGCGCAGGCGGCUCCUUAAGUCAGAUGUGAAAGCCCCGGGCUUAACCUGGGAACUGCGUUUGAAACUGGGGAGCUAGAGUGUAGAAGAGGGGGGUGGAAUUCCAGGUGUAGCAGUGAAAUGCGUAGAGAUCUGGAGGAACACCGAUGGCGAAGGCAGCCCCCUGGGCUAACACUGACGCUCAUGCACGAAAGCGUGGGGAGCAAACAGGAUUAGAUACCCCAGUAGUCCCUGAGCGGGCUGGCAAGGCGCAU